UUACUAGACUGGUUGUCUGCCAACCCUUGGUCGUAGAUAACAACACGUCUUGGGUGCUAUGCGAUAUGACUUUCUCGAAGAGGAUUUAAUUUUCAGCUUCGUCUUGACACCGGGAAUGACGUAUGGUCAAAGCCAAGAUUGUCUGCAAGAAAACACAGGGACCGAUUUGACAUUCCGAAAUCUGCUUCCCCACGUAGUCCAGAUCCGCAUUGAAUCGGACCCACUUGUUAAGACCACUUUGGCAACAGAUUCCUGGGAUUUCAUCGGUCGGAAAAUAGGCGGGUUUGUCGGGCUUCUUACCUGCUCAAGAUUUUGGACGAGAAUGACUCUUGACACUCGGAAUCGACGUGGCAAACCAGGUUGUAUGAUUAGUUUCGCGAGAAACCGAGACUCAUGCUCGAAUGGGAGGAUAUUUACGUACAUAUUUCGGAGUCGGCCAACAAUAACUUGAUUUUUAGGCUGUCCUAGCUACAUCGUCUUCCAGAACAGGUGUUAUUUUACAAAUCAAAGCAACUGCCGCAGAAGGAACCACCCAAGGAAACCGAAUUGAAUCGUUUUGAGCUAGCUUGUCAUUUCUAAACCACCGAAAACUUGAAAUCUCGUGUCAAAUACCAUUUCACAACUGUCAAAGUUAGGCAAGAGGUUCUAUGUUCAAAAUGUGUGCGUCAAAAAAUGAAUGGCUUUGAAACACUACCCAUCCAGCCAAGAUGAUCGUUUCAACUGUUUUGGGCAAAACUUCGGGGUUCAAUUGGAUCUGCUUUGUUUUAUCAAAGCGUACCCAUUAACAUAGUCGAACUUCCAAAAGGUCGAUUUUUUUUUCAGGGGGCAUAUCUCAUUACAUCUGUGACAAGUUUCUCAGGAGUACUCGAUGGCAAGCAUGAGGGCCUAAUGAAAGAAAACAUUUUCAAGUGGGAUUAUGAACAAUGUACAGAGCUCGAGAGCAAGCGAGAGAGCACUGACUGAUCUAUCCCAGGUCUCGUGUCCAUCUGGUCACCUCUGGCAGACAGACGCAAAAGCUCAACAACGGGCCUCCAAGGAGCUGCUCGGGGAUGAUGCUUCGAUGGUUUUUCUCUCUUCCUCUCUUUCUUUCUCUCUCACACACUCUCGUGUUCUCUCCGCUUCUUUCUCGUCUCGAGUCGUUUUCAAGUUCGCGGGAUGUCGCGCAGUAAAGGCCGAACUUGGAGCACAAAGGCCAAAUGAAGGGACAGAUUUCGCCUGUGUCGAGCACAAGGUACGUGGAACGUGGAACGUGCGACAAAAAGACAAGACUACAGCCGAGGUUGAGAGAGGCUGGACUCAAUGAAGCUGUGGAAUCCAAGCAUGAGUCUGAACGCAUGUGCUUUUUAAGAGCGGAUGGAUGGACCCAUUGAGGGCCACAAAGAGACUGGAAGUGUCAUCAUCUCAUCACGAAUUGGCCUCCGCAGCCAAUGAACUUGGCCUUGAGGCCAAAAGUAUCAUCUUCCUCAAUCAGGCUAACUACUCUUGGACCACAAUCGUGGUCCAUUGUCCGGGGGAGGGGGAUUCAUGCCAGAUUUGCCAAGAUCCAUCAAAACUCCUUGGGGAACGAGGAUCCCAUCAAGUCUCGUCCAAAGGAAACAUGCUAGAAACCAGAGAGACUCUUUUACAUUCAUAAUUUGUGUUUUGUUUGACUGUGGACAGGCUGGUGGCCUCAAAACAAUUUCUAAAAAAAAAAGAAAAUUUGGCUUGCAAGACUAGGUUGAUUGUACGACUUGGUCGUCUACGUAGUUUUCCUGCAAACGUACUUUGACUCAGGAACAGGAAUAGAUGGCUCUAGUCAGCAAAAGAGUGCGCAAAAACGAAGCGAUUGGAAAGAACGAGUCUCAAAAUGUCAUCCAUCUUCAAAUAUUAGCACAUUAACGAAGAAAGACGAUUCUACAAACUUUUCCACCAUUUCGUAUAAAAUGAACUCGGCAAGGAGGUUCUUUUUUAAGGAUUCGCUGGAUCUCUACUCAUCGCCCAAAAAGGGUACAAACUGCCUUUGUUCCACUCGGCCAAGAUGAAAUUAUCCAUCUAAUAUUAACCAGGGAAAUAGAUUUCCCUAUCUAUCUCCCUUGAUUGAUGCAUCAAAUGAAAUAAACCUGAUUUUUCGCUCUA